UCGACGCGUCCGGACGCGUGUGGCGGCUGCUCCACGUCAUCUCCGAGCAGAUCCGGGACUGGAAGUGCCUCAGGUUCACCAAGCUCAAUUGCGCCUUGGCAAUGGAGAAGAUGUCGGAGUGGCAGAGGGAGCUGGCGCUCGCGGCAGCGUCCCUGAGCGCCGAGCACGCCGUCUGCCAGGCCUGCGCCAGGAUGAUCGCCGACUUCCAGGACUUCGUGCCCCUCAUCCAGAAGCUGAGCAGUCCRCUCAUAAAAACCAGCUCCUGGAAGGA